rnacentral:lncRNA from 1 species
CUUUCAUGUGCAUACCUGUGGCCAUGAGUGAAAUGUAUAGAAAUAUUAAAAACAUGUCUUGUGACGGUUGGUGAAAAUGAAGAUGAUGGAGAUAACGGUUGAUUAGGUAUAUAGCUUGUUGAACUGAUACACACGGUCCCACCCCCGGGUUUGGGGAGUGUUGGCGUGCCCUUGAAAAAGUCAAACCCCGCCACAUUUUGUUUGUGUCUGUUUCAAGUCACGAGACGGUAAUGCAGUGUUUGUCGUAUGUUUCUUUAUAAUAUAUUUUUUUGUUUCUUAUUCAUUUUGUACAUUAAUCAGGUCGAUAGAUUUUUCGUUUGUUUUACAAUAUUCAUUUCGUGAAUUGAAGACUAUGCAGUAUAAAUUUUACUCAUUGUUGAAGCCCGUACAGGACAUAUUGUUAAUUUAUGUCUCAUUUGGAUGGUUGCCUCAUUUGCAAUCAUAUCACAUCUUCUUUUUUUUUAUAUGGAAUACUUUUGAAGUUUGUGGUACGUUGCAAGGAUAAAAAGGGGGGAUAUAGGUACAAAAGUUAUAAUGUAAUAGAUAUUAACCAGAGUAAAAUACGCAACAACAGAUAAUACUAUAUAUGGAAGCAGUAAUAAUUGUGAAAAAAACCAAAA